UGAAUGUCAGUUGGCUUUUCAUAGCCGAUCAUUCAGAGUUAGAGACAGCAGGUCGCACCACCGCUAACUAGCUAGCCGUUUCACAUCCGUUACACCUACUGUAGAUUCAAAUGAUCAGUUUCAGGCCCCAACCUGUCGGGUGAGACACAUGACUAUUUAAGUAAAUAUCUUCUUGAAGCGGCUGUGAAGUGGAAGAAUAUUUUCAGCAGCUUCUGGGCUGAAUUUGACACAUAAACCACGUCGUGGGCCGUUACACCAGUCGCGAGCCACCAAAGCGGAUUCGAAUGAGCACUGCGCCUGUAUUGUAUCGAGGUGUUUGCGAACUAAGGUGCUUGUCACUGAGCAGCUGUAACACAGUGUUGCCGGCGGUAGCUAGUAAAGUGGCCAAUUUUUUCCAUCCCAGGAUUAUAUUUCAAGUGGGAUAGCAGCCUACACAAUAAAUAACUCAUAUUGGUAGCCAUCUAGAUGUCACCUUGAUACAGGCUACUCAAUGGGGAGAGCAUGAACGGCAACAACACAGGGACACAGUGUUCUCAGAUGUCACAACCCUGUGUGAUUGGGUUCACUGGGCUCUCAGUUUGAAUGACCUCUAGUGAGGGUGAGAAGAGCUGACAAAUCAGAACUGAGGAGGAUUGUUACGGAGCCCCAUGAUGAACACCUGAUUCUGCGCUGACUUCUCUCUCCUGGAUGCUCUACUGUACAUACUGUCCCGUUGUGUGUUUCACUGCCUCUGAACACCCUUACCCCGAAUAGAUUUGCCCCUGAUCAUAGGUCUAGGAUUGUACCCAAUCCCAAUUUGAACUUCCUCUCUCUCUUAGUCUCUGUCUCCCCACACACCCCACACACAGGCAAACAAUAUUGUUUUUAAAUUAGUGUUGUAGUGUUGUUCUUAUUUGGUUACAUAUGUGUUAAUUGUUGUUACUUCUAUAGUCAAUUAUUUUGUGUACUUUGUUGUUAAUAUUGUUACCAAUUUAAAUUAAUAGUUUUUCUUACAUUUAGAUUUCAGUGAGAAUUUCACUGUAAAUUUACAGCAUUGACCUGGCACCAGAGUUACCAGCGCAAUACUGUAAUUUUGGGAUGCUGUAAUCUGUUUUACAGUAAGGGAAAUAGUACUGUGAAAUAUAUUACAGCAAAAUUACAGUAUUAAGUUGGCAACUCUGGUUCCAGUAUAAUUCUGUACAUUUACAGGGAACAGAUUUACAGUGUACUCACCUUGUAGCUGAGGUACACAAGCAACAUGGUCUCGAAAAAGCUGAUGAAAGCUACAAGCACCUGGAGAGAGAUGAAAGGAGAGAGAGAGGGAAAGAAAGAGAGAAAGAAAGAGAGAGAGAAAGAUUGGAGUAGUAACAGCAAUAGAGAGUGAGAGAGACAGAGAGUGGGUGGAAUCAUCAUUUUGAUGAUUCAACUCCAUCAAUAAGAAGUUAAAGUGAAGCAAUAAACCAGAGAGAGAGUGUGCGUGUGUGUGUGUGUGUGUGUGUGUGUGUGUGUGUGUGUGUGUGUAGACAGCCUUGUUAAUAUGACAGUUCAACAUUGUGUCUGACCUGUAGAGCCCACAGAGGCAGAGGCCUAUUCACCCAGAUGAUAAGAGACCUGCAGACACAGAACAAACAGAGCACAUAAUACAUGACACAUUGGGAGGAGAGGAAAGGAGGGAGAAUAAAAGAAAAAGGAGAUGUAACAGGGGUAAAUAUUAAAAGGACUCCCUUUCAAAUAUGAUCAAUCCAACGACAUAACGCCUCUUGUAAUUAUGUUUUUCACAAGCGAGUGGUUCUGAACUACAGCUGCCAUUAGACUUCCUCUGUGAAAAAGCAUCACAAUCAAUGUUCGCAGAUAACAUGAAUGCAGAUUUACAGCUCUGUUGUGAGAAAGAGGCUCUAUCCAGAGGCCUCUCGGGGCUUAUCAUUGCUGCCUUCUGAGUCUGCUGCCUGGAGUGUGUGUCAGCCAAAGAGCAACGGCCAGCCAAAGUCUUUAUUAAGCACACUCUGUCAUACUCCUUAUUCAUUUAUAGCCAGAGUUUACACAGUGUCACCAGCCGCCAAUGGUUAAAUAAAUAUGUCCCUGAGCAGGACUGGAGGCAGAGCCCAAGGACCCAGUCACAUCUGGGACAUACUCAGUCAGUUGGAUGGUCGGUUUGCUGGUCACUCGCUCACUCACUCACUCGUGCCUUUGAAUCUCAGUCCACACCACUGGACAUUCCACUCCUAGAAAGGACAUUUUGGAUGAGUGCAAACUAAGUUCACUUUUAAGUGCAAAUAAUCAGUCCCAAGACUCCUAAUUCAAAUAGUUUCUGUUUACUUAGCCUUCAGGCUCUGGUCUAGUGCACACACUCACAGCAGCCCCAAGACAUUUCCUGUAUCAGUCUUUGACUGGUUUACAGACAGCAGCUGCUAAUUAGGUUAUAUGGACACUACAUACAGUACAUAUUAUGUUGGCAUGAAAUCCAUACAGGUAACAUUGUGACAAACGAAUGUGCUACUGCAAUAAUGUAAUGUUUGCAGGUUGGCAUUUAUUGUCAUGAAUCUUGCCCUGGAGGCAGAAUGGUCACUAGCUGGCAUAGCCACAAAGUCAUCAAAACCUAACCCUAAACUUAACCACACUGCUAACCCUAAUGCUUAACCAUAACUCUAUAUUAAGACCAAAAAGCACAUUUUUGUUUUCAUACAUUUUUAGGAUAUAGCCAAUUUUUUCUAUGCAGUUGACCCAUCUAGCGGAAAUUGCUCAGUUCUGCCUCCAGGGCAAGAGUCAUGACAAUAAACGUCAAUCUGCAUAAUGUACCAUGUCUACAUCUCCAACCUCUCUAUUACUCACAGUAUCAUUAACUGUCUGUUGUACAUGGUCUCAUUACAGUGCUCUGUGGUGGACACAAGAUGAACAUCUCUCUCUCUGUAUUAGACUCCCAGACCAGUCUUGGCUCCUCAUUAAAGAUGAAUGGGACAUAAACAUGUAAACUUACCAGUCAAACUGGGUCCUGCUGGGGUGGACCGAUGCAUUCUGUUUGGAACAGUCCAGACUACAGGGGAAACAUGCAUAACAAGAGGACUGAAACGUGUCAUGCUUGGACAUUCAAAGAGUUCUAGCUUCCUGUGUUCCUCAACCCCAUCCUAUAUGACCUCAAAUUUCUCUCUCUCUGUUUCCUCCAGAAUUGUAAUGCCGGUGUUACAUUCUCAACAUACUCCUCACUC